UUUCCGUAGGUGAACCUGCGGAAGGAUCAUUAAAAAAUUGGACUCCAUUGGUGAGUUCAUUAAUAAUCCCUACCCUUUGUGAAUUUGUUUGUUUGAAUAAUUUUUUUUCCAAAAAAAAUUAUUGAAUGUCUUUCCCUGUUUUGGUGGAGCUUGUAAAGUGAAACCAGGCAGGGGAAUGGCAAACAAUAAUUAUUUUUGAAAAAAGACCUUUUUUUAAAAUUAAACUUUUUGUAUUCAUUUGUCUAAAAUUAUUUUUAUAAUAUAAAAACAACUUUUGACAAUGGAUCUCUUGGUUCUCGCAACGAUGAGAACGCAGCAAAAUGCGAUAAGUAGUGUGAAUUGCAGAAUACGUGAAUCAUCGAAUCUUCGAACGCAUAUUGCACUUUUUUAGUUUACUAAAAAAGUAUGUCUGUUUGAGUAUCAGUAAAAUAUUCUCAUAAAAAACAUUGUUUUUUUAUGGUUAUGAGUGUUUUACAACGAUAACAAGUUGUUUCACUUUAAAUUCUUUGUUAUCAAAAAAAUCAUUAAAAGCUAAUUUAAAGAUUUUUUAAAAUUGGAUAAAAUUUUCCCGUAAAAAGGAAUAACCUAAACAAUUUUAAAAAAUUAAAAUUGGUUUGAUUUUUUUUGAAACCCAAAGGAAAAAAAAACGAAAUUAACUUGAUCUCAAAUCAGAUAAGAGUACCCGCUGAACUUAAGCAUAUCAAUAAGCGGAGGAAAGAAACUAACUAGGAUUCCCUCAGUAACGGCGAGUGAAGCGGGAGGCUCAAAUUUGAAAUCUUCAAGGUUUUACCUUGACGAAUUGUAGUUUAAAGAAGUGUUUUCUGUUGGAGUUUUGGUAAAAGUUCUUUGGAAAAGGACAUCAUAGAGGGUGAGAAUCCCGUAUUUGACCAUUAUCUCCAGCUUUGUGAUACACUUUCAAAGAGUCGGAUUGUUUGGGAAUGCAGUCCAAAAUGGGUGGUAAAUUUCAUCUAAAGCUAAAUACUGGCGAGAGACCGAUAGCGAACAAGUACCGUGAGGGAAAGAUGAAAAGAACUUUGAAAAGAGAGUUAAACAGUACGUGAAAUUGUCAAAAGGGAAGCGUUUGACACCAGUGUUGUUUUCUCGAAAAUCAAUUAAAAAAGCCGGAUUUUGUGUUGUAUUGACUUUAUCAGCUUUCUGCACUUUUUUCUUGUCUUUUUUAAUGCACUUUUCGUUUAACAAGUCAACAUCAAUUUCUUUUGUUGUAGAAGGGUCAUUGGAAGGUGGCUUUCUUUUCGGAGAAAGUGUUUAUAGCCUUUGGCCUCUGCAAUCGGAGAGAUUGAGGUCUGCAGCGUAGAUCCUUCGGGGUUAGAUACAUUUGUGCUAAGUUAUAGCCUUUCAUAGACAACUUGUUGACUAUGAUCAGUCAUGUAGCUUACUCGCUUAUGCUAUUU
rnacentral:misc_RNA from 1 species